UCUGAGUGGUUGUAUCAACGAGGGUGCUCACACUCUGCACCCAGAGGUUUGCAGUAAGUCUGGGUCCCACACAGAGCAGCAUGUGGUGGCUCUGGACUUCCUCGUGGAAGAGUUAUUUUUCAGAGAUCUGAGAAAUCUUAAUCUGAGGGGCAGAGGGAACCUCAAAUGCCUAGCCACAGCCUUGUUAACAACUGGUCAUCUCUGGACAUUGUUCUGGAAUGUAACAUUACAGAAUCAUGGUAGGAGUACCUCACUUUACAUUGUAAUUAGGUUGCUAUGGCAGCAAAGCUCUCUAAAUUAAGGACUUCACUUGAAUUAUCUGGCAUAACUAAACUGGCCUGUCCAAACCUGAAUCCGAUGUCUUUGCCUUAGCUUUUCUGUUAGUGAUAGCUGAAUUAUUCUUGGAAGCCAGCUCCUCUCAUUAUCAGCUAUUAACAACAAACAAUUCACAAUCAGCAAUUCCAUCGCACCUUUCAGUGACUGCCCGGAGACUUUUAAAAUUACAAUUUUCUCAAUCAGCAGACGUUUAUUUUCCCUUAUGUCAGACCCCUUGCCAGGGUCUAUAGUUUUAAAAGAUUCCCUCCGGGAACACUAGGUAUGGGAAUAAGUGGGGAAGUUUACAAUUAUAAUAAAGACUUUGAAGGAUAUUCAAGGUAGAAUCUAAGGGAACCAUCGCAGAGGCCCAAAACCAAGAAGGCCAUGUGAAACUUGCAAAAGCUACUUCUGGGGGAAGUAAGCACAGACUGAGUCGGAAAUAGCCCGUAGAACCUGGUUUGGACAGAGGGUGGCCAGUGUUAUUGCCACGGCCAGCUGAGGGAACUGAGGUGCAGAGUGACUGCUCCUGUCCUGCAGGCACCUCUUACAAACUCCUUUUUUUUUUUUUUUUUUAAGUUUAUUUUGAGAGAGAGAGCUGGAGCAGGGAAGGGGCACAGAGAGGGAAAGAGAGAAUCCCAAACAGCUUCCACACUGUCAGCCCAGAGAACUGUGAGAUCAUGACCUGAGCUGUAAUCAAGAGUUGGAUGCUUAACUGGUGGAGCCACCCAGGCGCUGCUGAGAAUUCCUAGCGAUAUAGUACCAUUCACAAAGGAAAUGUCCCAAAGGACUCUAGAUCUGAUCAAUGAUAUAUCUCACUGAAGAGCUAAGGUGAUAAAGUUCUUGGUUUAAUAGAAUUGUAAAUAAAACAUUACUAGCUCCUGUAGAACAUUGUCCUCGGAUUCAUCUUAUGCUCUUGCAAACCAAGACAUCCAGUGCUGAUCAGGAAUUUAAGAAAUUAUAAUAUCGAGAGGAAUUGUCUUCACAUAAUGGUCACACACAGAAAUGACAUCAAGAGCCAAAUGAGUGAAUGGGUGAAACAGAGGUGUGGCAGUUGAUGGAAACAAUGAGAAACUCCCUAUAUUCAAGAUGACCACACUUAAAAAUCAGUACGUAGAAAACUUGUGUGGACCCAAUAAAAUGUGUGUGCGGCAGUUUUGGAUGGGAGACAAAGGUUUCAAACCUGGGACUAGUCCUGGACUGUUCUCUAAAAAUUCAGGAAGCAUUGUUGAUUUGGAGUCUUGGAGUAAGAUUUUACAUGUACUUUACAUUAAAUUGUGAUCUCUAAUGACCAAAAAAAAUCAUUUUUUUUUUAGAUGGGUAUUGAUAUACCACUGAUUAACAGAUGAUACAGGAUUUUAUUUAAAGCUUAAAGCUACUAGUUCAUUCCAUUUGUGUAGCUGGCCAAAUCAAAAUAUUUUACAUACUGUACACUAGGUUAUUAUAAUUUGCAAGUAUAAUGUAACCUUUCCCCCCAUUCCCACUGGCAUUUCUCUUGCUCUCUUGCAAGCCUUUCUAGAAUGCUUAGGUACUUGACUUGAAAACUAUUGUUCUUUCCCAGACAAGUAGCAGUCAAAAUUUCUCCAUGGGUGACAUUUUAGUCAUUCUGAAGGACAUUUGGCCAAUUACAGGUCAUUUAGGUGACUAGUACUAAAUUAAAAGCAUUUUUAGAAAUAUUUAAUUGCUCUCCACUUCCCUCUAAAUCACCUAGGGAUUUGCUACUGAGAUGGAGUCCUAGACCAGAAGCAUCAGCAAACAUUGGGAGCUUGGUAAAAAUGCAGAAUCUCAGGCCCCACACUAGACUUACCAAAUUUGAAUCUACAGUUUCACAAGAGCCCUAGGAGAUUUGUGCGCACACUAAAUUUUAAGAAGCAUUGCUAGGUUUCUCUAUACUAAGAUCAGAACAUGAUGUUUCUAUCACAGAACUUCAUGAAAUCUAAAGCACAACACUUUAUAUCUUCAUCUUCCAAAACUUGUUGAGGCCUCAGAAGACAUGAAGGUAGGAGCCUCAAAUGUUGAUGUCUUCAUAGCAGUAUAUGAGAAAGAUCCUUGGGCAUAGAACUAGAAAUUCUGGGCUGGAAACACAGAUCUGCUAUUUACUAACUUAGCAUAAAUAAAUAAAUUUCAAACCUACAUUUGUUAAUCCUUAAUAAUGUGUACUUUACAAGGUUUUGAAAUAUCAAAUGUAAAAUUCAUGUAAGUACAGAAAACAUAAUAUUCUAAAUAAAUAUGAGUUGCAGAGAGCAUAACUGCAGGUGUGACUUGGUCAGGAUCUGGACAGAAGGUGCAUAGAACAUGCUGAUAUCAGAACACAACCAAAGGAAAACAUCACCUGCCCAGCUACCCAAAUCCUUCCCUGGCUAUUAGCUGUGUGAAAUAUAAAUGUAUAGCCAAAAGGAUCGUUUGGUCUGUAGUCAAUUGGAUAAUGCAUCUCUCACCAAGGCAUUCGGAUUAAAUUAAAUUAAUUAAUUUCAUUUAAUUAAAACAAAAUAGAAAAGACUAUUUGAAACAGGCUACCAAGUUUAGGUGUUUGGUGUAAAACAGUUUGUUGCAUCUGUAAGGUUUUUUUACACAUGGACGUAAACCAAAGGUUCUCAAAAUUUAGUGUGUAUAAGAUUCAACUGAGGAGCUUGAUACAAAUAGAGAUUUCUUUCCUCUCUGAAUUACCAGAGAAUCUGAUAUGUUAGGUCUAAGAUAUGGUGGGAAUAUGAAUUUUUAAGAAGCUUCACAGUUGAUUUUGGUGCUGACUAUCUGCAAACUAUUCUUUGUGAAAAGUUGUCUUAAAUCAAUAAAAUGCAGUUGAAGGAGAAUUCCUAAGUUUAUGAAUAUCAAACACAGUAAUAAUAAUUGAAAUAUUUGUAGCUCUAUUCUGUCUUUAGAAGACCUCUCUGUGACAGGUAAUAUGAGUAUCAGUAUUUUACUAAUAAACAGGCUAAAAGUUUAGUUAUUGCAUUUGUUCCUCCAGGUAGAAAAUGGCAAAAUCAGAAUUUGGAUACAGAUCUGUGUGAUUCUAGAGCACAGGCUGUAAAUCACUAUUUUCAGAGACACAGAAUUCCCACAAUCCCUCUAGGUAACAAGAAAUGUUCAAUAAGACCUGGUCCCCUUUGAAAGAGGGGUUUGGAUACAUGAAAUGAACUGAACUUCUCAGACAUUUCCUCCUCAUUAUGGAGCUUCAUCUGGGGAUGGGGUUUGGGGGAUAGAAGAUAAGUAAGGCAUAGAGGAAAGGACAUCUUACAUGAGUAUAUAAUUCCAGAUAACAGCCAUAUAAUAUUUUCUGGAGUUCCAUGUGCCAAUUUAGCAUGGUCUGCUCAGUAAUUCUACCUGGAAGCCCAUGUGAAACUGUCGUGUACCAGUCUGUCCUAAACCCAUGACCAUCCUGCUUCUCCUCACCAGGCCUGUUUUAUUUCAGUGGUUUCCCAUCUUAGUUAACUGCACCUCUGUCCACCUCGAUAUCUAAUUCAGAAAGCCGGAGUCAUUUUAAUUACUUGUUGCAUCUCUGCAUGUAUAGUAAUCAGAUACUUUAACCAAUUGAUUCCCUUUCCAGGUACUUUUCCGAUCUACCUGCUCUCUACAACCAUUACAUCACUGUUAAGUGCUUGCAUUACAACUUAGUUGGACUAUUCUCUUCUCAAGUGUCUGCAGUCACUCUCAUACCACCUGUCUAGACCAGCAAGAUGGCAGUCAAAUUGUCCUUUUAAAAUGAACAUAUCUAUCUCAUCUAUGGGAAAUUCCUUAUCGUCUAUAGAAAAAAAAAUUACUUAGCUGAGGUGAAAAUAUUUUGCCUGUAUAUGCACAGAAUAUCUCUGGAAGGAGCUAACAUUGGUUGCCUACAAGGAGAACUGUGUAGUUAGUGCAUAGGGCCAGAAGGGUAACUUUCCACUAGCUUACAUCAUUUUUGUAAUUUUUAAAAUUUGAACCAUGUAAACAUGUCAAAAAUUUUUAAAGGAAAUAAAAAUUCCUUAGCUGGAUGAAAUAGCAUGAUAUCAGAGAUCUGCAAAAGUAAUAAAAAUAUAAGCAGUAAAAAAAAGGAAGAAAAAAAGGAAAGAAAAGAAAGUUUGGAUAAGUAAGAAUAGAGAAUGUUGAUAAAUGUAUCUGCAGGCUGCGUAUAUUGCUGAUUUAUUUUACUAUUCAAUGCUUUAUAACAAAAAUUUAAAGAUAAAUAUAAAUCCCAAGCUUAGCCUAUAAGGCACUUCGUGAUCUGUCCUUUGCAUGCCCUUUCAUCUGUCCCAGACCCUCUUCAUGCUGCCUUCUUUCUCUCCAGGAUGAAGUACUUAGGCGUAUCUGAACAAAACCUCUUUCUUUCUUAUCUCCAUGUUUUUGCAUAUGCCAAUUCUUUUGUUGGUAAUGUUCUUGCCUUCCUUGCGUAUUCUUCCAUAUUCUUGGGAUUUAAGCUCCACAGUCACUUCUGCAGAGAAGCCUUUCCUGGAAUUCUCCUCACCUCUUCCAAGCAGAGCUAUGCCCUCCCUUCUUUAAGCUUCCACGGUACUCAGCACUGAUUUCUAUUUUGGUUCUUAUCUUAGGGUGGUAAUCACCACAACUCUUAGAACCCAGCAACCAAGGUGCCUCCCGUAGGUUCUGUGCUUUACAGGGCUCUAUGGGCCCUCCUCUGGCUACAUCCUGCCCUAGGUCUAAGGGUCUGUGGGGAUGACAGGAUGUGUCCACCUGAAAUUUUUUCCUCUCUUAUACUUCAGGUCCUAGGACUCUGACUUUUUUCUGCGAGACAGUUCUUUCUCUGGGCAUGCUGAACUCAUGGGGUGAGCAAAGUUGACAGGUAGCUGCUGGACAGAUGGGUGUGGAACCUGGAAUUUGUCAAAAUUAGUUUGGUCUGGUGAAUUGUGGAUUAGCAAGCAGAGCAACUGGAGAGGCACACACACCACCUUCUGUGGUGGUGAGAAGGGAGGAAUCCUGGACCCUCUUGCCAAAUAGCGGUUAGUCUCCAUUCAUUAUAGGAUUCCCUUAUAGUGGUUAGACCAUCUAGGUUGAUUCUUGAGCAUAUUCAAGCAUGCAUAAAAGCACAUUGUUUCAUGACACGCCAGUCGUAUACCUAGAAAAGUAUCGAUCCAUAUUAUUAUUAAUUUUUUUUCCUAAUGAGAGCAAAGAUCUGAUAGAAACAGAUGGCAACAUAAAAGUUCCUCUUUCAGUGUACAAAGAGAAGAUGAGGCUGGGCACUCUAAAGAAAGUUUGAUCUCCAUUAUUUUUCCCUACCUAACAUUUACAUACUGCUUACUCUAUGCUUAGAACAAUCCCAAUCAGUUUUGAUACAUUAAGUCAUUUAAUUUUCACAAGAUCCUUAGGAGUAGGUGUAUUCUCACUUUAUGGUUUGAAAACUAAAGUGAACAGGUUUUCAGGCCAUUCAGCUCCUAAGAAGUGAGCUGAAUUUCCAUGUAGGCUCCAGAUUUGAGGUGCUCAAAGCCCCUUUCCCACUGCCUAAGGCCAGAAAAGGGUCGUCUUCCAUAAGGGAGUCCAUGACUGCAGGUGGGAGACUCAGUCUCUACUUACUUUAUAAGUCAAAAGGAUGUAUACUUGUAAAUAUCCAUUCUCAAAUCUUUCUAGAGAGCUGUUCUUGAAGAAAAUAUUUCUAAAGUAGGCUGAUAUUUUGUAGCUUUUAAAUCUAGGAAGAAUCUAGAUUUAGGAAGAAGUCAAUUAAAUGAUUAAAACUUAAAGUACAAGUGGCCAUGAAUAUAAAUCAAUUGUUUCUAAAUACUAAGGCUUUCAGAAAUAUCUUCAUAGAAUGGUGCCUAUUCAAUCUAAGUCACUUCUUUCCAGGUCAUACUUUCAUGAACAGUGGUGAUGUAAAAUCUCAAUCUUUUAUAGUCUUGAUAAGCUUUUUAGAAAUUUAUUUCAAAAAUAUAUGAAAUUCUUUCCAAAGGAAUUAUUCAUACUUUAUACCCUAAAAUCUUUUUAGAUUUUCCUGGAAGAACUAUAAAGUCAUUAUUUUAUUUUAAAAACAUUUUAGUGAGCACUUAUUAUGCAUCAAUAAUAAGUGGUUAGGCAUCCAACUUUGGCUCCUGUCAUGGUCUCAUGGCUUGUGAGUUUGAGCCCCAUGUCGGGCUCUGGGCUGACAACUCAGAGUCUGGAGCCUGCUUCAGAUUUUGUGUUUCACCCUCUCUCUCUGCCCCUCCUCUGCUUGUGCUCUCUCUCUCUCUCUCUCAAAAAUAAAUAAACAUUAAAAAAUAAUAAUAGUAAUACCAAAAACAUUAAACCCCAGCCCUGCCUUAAAGAAGUUCCCAAUAUACUGACUAAAACAGACUUAGAUCACUAUAAUAGAUUACUAUAAUACAGUGUGAUGAUGGUAAAUAAUAUAUACAGAGGGGGUGUUGUAGAAAGAUCCCUGGAGUAGAUUAACUGUAAAUUGCAUUGGAAUACCUAAAAUUAGUUUGCCAGGUAAAGAAAUUAAGAGAAGAGAUUCUACACAGAGAGAAUCUGGUGAAAAAACAGUUACUGGAUGCCAACAUACGUAGGACUCCUAAAACAAACAAACUGGUGCCUUCUGCAGCAGAAAGUGCAAUAUCCAGUUUAUGUCAGAAAUUCUCUACAACUGUAAUCAACUAUAUCACGCUCCCUAAAAUGUCUAACUGCUAGAUUGUGAGGCAGUGGACACAGUGGGGAAGUAGGACCACACAAACAACAACAACAACAACAACAACAACAACACAAAAAACAAAACAAACAAACAAAAAAAAAACAGAGAAAGAAAAAGCCAGAUGUCUUCCUACCUUCAGAGUGACAGUUAUAAGUCACCCUGGCAGGGGAAUUAUCAGCUCAGAACAAGUUUUUGUUGUGCUAGGGAGCACUAAAACAAAUCAGAUACGUCAUAGUAGAGCAUGACGCAUGACUUUAGUACUGACAUAAAGAAAAGUCUUCUUUCGUGUUCAAAUAAUGUCAGAGAAUACUGUUGAAAUCUGAGACCAUUUUAUUUUAUUAGUUUUUUUUUUUAAUGUUUAUUUAUUUUGAGAGAGAGAAAGUGAGAGUGUGUGUGUCGGGGGGGUGGGGUGCAGGAGAAAGGGUGGAGGAGGACCAGAGAGAGAGGAAAUGGAGAAUCCCAAGCAGGAUCCACCUUAUCAGUGGAGCCCAACUGGGUGGGGGGGCCUCCAUCUCACCAGCCAUGAGAUCAUGACCUGAGCCAAAGUGAAGAGUCAGACACUUAACUGACUGAGCCACCCAAGAGCCCCCCAAUUUUAAAUAUGAACAAAUAUAGGAGUGCCUGGGUGGCUCACUCAGUUAAGCUAUCUACUCUUAAUUUCAGCUCAGGUCAUGAUCUCACAGCUGGUGAGAUGGUUCCCUGCAUUGGACUCUGUGCUGACAGUGUGAAGCCUGCUUAAGAUUCUCUCAGUCUCUCUCUCUCUCUCUUUCUCUCUCUCUCUCUUCCCUCCCCUCCCCCACUCCUGCUCCCUCUCUCAAAAUAAAUACAUAAACUUUAAAAAAUAUGAAUAAAUUUAAUAUCAUAUAAUAAAUGCUGCCAAUAUAAUGUCAAAUUAAUAGUAGAAUUUUAUAGUAAAAACUGUUGCUUAGUGUAAAGACUAUAUGCUUAGAGGCAAAUGGUGAGCGUUUAUAUAUAUAUGUGAGAGUUUCAGCUUCAUCAUUUACAAACUGGGUAAACUUGAAAAUCUCAUGAAGUAUCCAAGCCUCAGUUUAGGGCCUUUAUAGAAUGAGGCUAGUUUUUAGGAAUGUUAUGAGGAUUAAGUGUUAAAGCAUCUAACACAUAGUAAAUACUCAAAAUACCAAUUUUUCCAAUAAUUAAUUUACAAUUUAUGUCCCAUCUAAUUACACAAGAGAACUUGAAACAGACUUGGAGACAAGUAAACAAAGACAUAACAACAGAUAAAAUUAAACAUGACAUAAAUAACAGAACUCAUUUACAAGAAAGAAGUUUUUACAAUUUUAUUAGGAAUAUAUUCCUUCAGAAUUCCGGAGGAUUGUUACUCUCUGAAGGAACAAUUUAGGUUGUUGAAAUUUAUGUUGGAACUCGAAAGGUGCCCUUCAUUUUGCAAGCUAUUACCUGAAAAUCCCUUUGACAUACAAACAUAGUGAAUUGGCUUUAUUUUUGUUCCUUGAGUGAUUUGGGCUGGCUUAUUUCCAUAAUACCUGAAUGGCAUGUUUGUAAGCUGCCAAUAUUUUAUUGUUCUGAGUUUUUUCUCACACAAGUCAAUUUGAUUGUUUCUGGUUUAGUCAAAUUCCACUGGGGAUAGUAGACAGUGUGUACUCCUUCUAAUGAUCUAAGUUACCAAUGUUUUCUUUACACUGCUAGGAAUGAUGAAUGGAAUUACUCAGAAUCUCAAGUCAAGUAGGAGGCUAUGAGCUGAAUUCAGAUCACAUGAAGUAAAAAACAGUUCACUAUACUAACAUUUAAUUUGUCUGGUUUCUUUAUCAAAGGAGAUUCCCUAUUUCUACAACAUUUCUAUACAACUAAAGGCUAUCCCCUAAAUCUUGAAACAAAUGUUGAGGAGAUGUUUUCCUCUAAUGCCUGACAGAUAGUUAAUUCUCCAGGCCUCUACUGCAUUCUCCUGAAGGUACUAAAUGCAUCCAGAAGAUCUUUGAAAGGCCUCUGUACUGCCAACAGCAAAUGGUAAUAGAUUCUGGGAUGGAGAAGGUGUCAUUCCAGUAAAUGACCGUUGAGUUCAAGUUCAUUUACAUUUAAAAAAUACAAUGUAUAAAAUAAUUACAAAUUCCUAUCCCAAUUUGUUCUUUCAAUUUCAUAAAAAUCAUUUGUGAAUCUAUGACUAAUGGUGAAGUGGGGAGAUCUGAAUUUAGUAAGAAAAUCGUGGUCAAGUUUGUGAAAGCGAUAACAUUAAUUGUGUAUGCUGCACUAUUUUUAUAUGUGCAGAAUAACAUUUUUAAAAUUUGGAAUUGAACAAAUAGUAGCAUUAAACAAAAAUAUGGUUUUAUAUUUUAGGCUGAGACGUGAUUUUGCUAGUGUCUUUUAUUUUAAAAUGGGGACAUCUUGGUCUUCAAGUUUCCUUACUGAGUGUCUUUCUCUUGCCAUGUAGUUUGGACAGGGGACCAGAAGGAUUUGGGGUGUCAACCAUCCCUCCCUUUCCCACCCCAUCUGUUAAAAUAGAGAUCAAAAAUUUUAGACCACUCAUAUAAUAAUCCCAGAUAUGUGAAUUUGCCCAAGAAAUGAGGACCUCACCAAUAAAAGAACUACUUGAAGAAGUUCUGGAGUUCAUAUGAAAUGGGUGAAUCAAGGAGGUGUUUACUCCAAUACACCUUUAUACCUCCCACUCAUGAAUUGCUAAAUUCUACACAGCUACUUUGCAUCCCUUGUACUCAGUCGAGUGGAUGGGGCACUCAGUAAACAGACAAUUAUCACUUAACUUAGGUCUCAGUGGUUUCAAGAUAAAAUGGAAACCAUAAUCUCUGCUCCAGCUGGUUGUUGUGAGUGUUCAUGGGCAAAUGAAAUCACUGAGGGACCACAGUGAAGAUAGAGAAAUACGCUGUUGUUACAGAGUUUAUGUUAGAGAUGGAGGGAGACAGGCAAUAAUUUAAUAAUUUAAGACAGGCAAGACAUAUAAUUUCAGAUCUCAGAAAUGUAGGGACAUUAAAAUAGAGUGAUGAAGCAGAUAAAUUUUAGAGGGAAGAUGCUAAAAUGGACAGAAAGGGAAGAGGAGGGCCACCGUUAAGCACGAUGCCACUAGCCUAUGAAGCUUUGUGCAAAUUCGAAAAAUGUGUCUUCUGAGUAUAUGCAGGCCACGGUGGUAAGAUUUGGUCAGGAAAACCUGCUUAGUGCAAAAUUAAGAGGCAGCUCUCUCCUGGCCAGUUUCAGCUCCAGUCCAGGGCAUGCUGUCUUGGGGUGGGGCAAUCAGAGUUGGAGGCCUUUGUUACACAACUGCGCGAAUGCAUAACACAGGAAGUGGCCCUUUCUCCAAGGAGAACACAUCUGAGCUCUGACUUGAAUACAAAGGAGCAAACCUUAGGAAGAUGUCUGAUAAAAGGAUUCUUGACAGAGAAUAGCAGUACAAAAAGCCUAAGCUAGUGACCAGACUGGCUUGUUUAACGGUCAUCGGUGAUGGAAAACAGAGACAAGCUCAUAGCAGACCAUUCUAGCCUAUUCCGGUGAGUAUGGAUUUAUCCUAAGGACAAAGGUAAGAUUUUGUAGGGUUUUAGUACAGCAUGUAGGUUUUUUAAAGAUCACUGGCUGGUGUGUGAACCAAAAAAAUGUUUGUAGAGAAAAGGAUAUGAGGGACAGCAAGAUAUCAGGUGGAGACUAUUGAAAUGAUAGAAAGUAAGAAAGUGACAUGGGCUUGGACUAGGUGGUUUGAGGUAGAGAUUCAAUCAUUAAUGCAACAAGUAUUUAUUGAAUGCCUACUGAGUACCAGGUACUUCCGUAGGAUAUGGAGUUAUAGUAGUGAACAAUACAGACAAAAUCACCUAUUUCGUGGAGCUGAGAUUCCAGUGGGUGGAGACAAAAAACAGUAACUAAACAAGUAAAAUGGAAAUAAGUAUCUUAUUAAAAAUGUAUCAAGAAAAAGUAAUAAGAAAUGCUAUUCAGAAUAAUGGGUGGCAUUUUUAAAUAUAUGAUAAAUGAAAAACAUAGGAAUUGGAGGUAAGUGGAUGGAUUCAGAGUACAUUUUGACAUAAACCCAAUAGGACUAUUAAAUGAAUUUAAUGUAAGAAGUGAGGGAAAGAAAUCAUUUGACUUGAGCUUCUGGGAACAACUGAGAACACUCAGAUAAGGGCAAGGAAUUUUCCAUUUACCCAGCCAGGUGCUGUUUAUGAACUAACUGCUUAGUCAUUGUUGUCACUUGGAUUAUGUAGUUUUUAAUUUUGCCAGAGGUCUUAUAUAGAGGACACUGAAGUAGAAGCCAUAGUUACUUUAUAUUAGAUUAUUCCAAUAAUAUAUUAUAUUGGUAAUUAAUUUACAAGUUUUUUGCUAUGAUUUUAGAAAAGUUUUAGGCAAAUGGAUUAUUUAGUAUAAAUUGGUUACACAACCCUAUUAUAAGUGUUUUAAAACACCAAAUUCUUUAACUUCUUAGAUCAAAGAAACUCCUCCAGGCCAAAAUGUUUCUACUGGAAAGGUUUCUUUGCAUCCUGAUAAAAAGCUUCCCUAAUAUUUCCAUGUGUUAUAUAUUUGCAUAUUCACUUUGAUGGAAAGCAUGGAAUAGCAGCCAAAUGCAUAUUUCAUACAUUCUUUUGAUUAAAAAUGAUAAAGGUAAUAUUAGUGUUUUUUCCUCUUCAUCUCCAAUUUAUGAAGUAGAAAUAAUUUUCCAUGAACAGUCAACGAAAAGAAAGGAAACAAGAUUGAUUUGAGAUUAUAUCAUUGUUCUAUUUAUCCUUAUACCUCAAUUAUGACAAAAUACCUGAUGUUUGGGAUCUAAUGAAAAUAGAGGCACAGAAUCAUGAUCCUAGAGUUUUGGGGUAUAGGAGAGACCUUUGAAAUCAGCUAUUCCAACACCCUGAGUUUUCAAAUGGAAAAAAAAAGUCCCUGGAAGGAUAAAUGGCCUAACAAAAUCAUACACUGAGAGCAAGUCCAAUAUAAGAUUAAGACCUUUUCCACUCUAUUUUAUUUUUCUAUUUAUUUAAUGUCUAUUUGGAAGAUCGAGAUAAAUGCCAGUUAUCUAUUAUUAUCAAUGAUUCCUAACCCUUGAAAGAUCUGUAAGUAUUUAGUUCAUUCUAUGAAGAGUUUUACAGUUUUCUUUGGUGUUCAUGUUUUGUUUCACCUUAAUUAGAUGCUGAAUUGACCCCAAGUGGCCCAUCAAAAAGACUCCCUACUUAAAGAUCAAUCUUUUUGUUACCUGACCUCAUUUCCACAAUUCUAGAUAGACUUUCACUGGGAGACUUUUAAGUUUUUCACAAUUCCUGUUUCUUUACUUUUCUUAGUUUCUUCUAGCUCUCUGAACCAUAUGUCUUCCAAACCCACAGCAAAUCAUAUUUGCACACAAGGUAAACCAAGGGACAGACAGUAAAGAUGGAAGAAAGAGACAGAUAGGUAAAAUGAAUCAUAUGUUUUUCUUUUAAUGCAAAAGCCAAAGGCAGGAGGAAAAGAGAUAAAUGAGGCAAAUUAGAUGAACUGCAGUCACAAUUAAAAGAAAUAAAAAUAAAAACUUAGAAUGCACUCAUGCACAUGCAAUGCAAAUCUCCCACUUGACAUCUAAUCAAAUAUUUUUUUUAAUUUUUUAAUAUUUAUUUAUUUUUUUGAGAGAGAGAGACAGAGACAGAGGACAAGUAGGGAAGGGCAGAGAGAGAGAGGGAGACACAGAAUCUGAAGCAGGCUCCAGGCUCUGAGCUGUCAGCACAGAGCCUGAUGUGGGGCUCAAACUCACAAGCCGUGAGAUCAUGACCUGAGCCCAAGUCAGACACUCAACCAACUGAGCCACCACAUGCCCCUAAUCAAAUAUUUCCGGGAUUGCAAAUUCUGAGUGAUGACAUGGCCUAGAACAUGGCUUAUUCCAGUUAUUCCUCAAAACGUGGCCAUUUUAUCUCCUCCCUUGAUUCGCUUCCACACACUCUCCUCACAUGCUCCCAGAGCACCCAGGAUGCACUUUAUCUUCUGAGCAUCAAUGCACUGAUGUUUAUAUACAAGUUUGGGCUUUACACCCCCCCACGUUUUUAAAUCUUCAGUAGACUAUGAGCAACUUGAGGACAGAAUCUGCAACAGCACUAUAUACUUGUGAAAGGAAAGGAAUCAUUAAAGGAGAAAAUGAAUGACUAACUGAAUGAGUGAAUCAGUGCAUGUUAGAUGCUACUCUGUCACAUUUUCUAGAACAGACCAAAUUAUAGCUAUUUUUUAAGUUCUUUAUAGAGUAUAAAAUACUUCCAACAAAAAAGUGAAAUUUUAUUUACUUGUUUAUUCAUUCACUCAUUCAUUCAUUCAUUCAUUCAUUUAUUCAUUUUUAAUCAUUAACGGUUCCAGACCAAAGCAUUCACUUUCUUUCUUUGAGUAUCUUUACCUAUUUAUGAAUGGAACAACAGUCUUGCUAUGAAAGUGAAAAAUUAAUGUGUUUACCCAUGGCUAGUGGGAAAAAGUGAGCUAAAGUCCAAAAUGAAGAAAGGUAGCAUCAUUAAAUAAUUCAAUCAAGAUGUAACCCUUGUAAUAUAUUCUGAAUAUCUAUAGGUCCCCUCAAGUGGAAAGAAGACUAUGUAAAUUAUCCACUCAGGUAUUUUUCAGCCUAAAUAAUUCUGCAACUAAAUGUAACUUGAAUAGUGUUUUAGUGCCAAACAUUGAAACCCAAAGAAAUUAAACAACUUGCUAAAUUCACCUAAGUGCUUAUAAGCAGGACCCGUGUAUGAAGAUGGCAGGUGCUGUUUUCUUUGCACAGUAGCAUGUUGUCUUUGUAUUUUGCGUCUAUUUUAUAAAUAGCAUAAAGAGAAAAGGAAUGAACAAAAUAUAUAACGACAUUUGGAAUAGUGCUGAGCAAUUUUAAUUAAUUGCAAUUAUUGCGUUGUUAUAUUGUGUUUUAGAAUUCUAUACUCAAUGAUAUAAUCUUAUAAUAAUUAAAAAGCAGAUCUUAAAUGAAGUUCUCUGUAUUAUAAUAAAGUGAUGUUAUUAAUGGACAUUUUACCUAUUGUUCCACUUGAAGACAAUUUAAAAUACAAAUAAUGCAUGUUUUUGACCAUCGGUUGUUAGUAUUCAAAGUUAUAAUGAAUUAAAAUUAGGUCUCUUAGAUGCCAUUUUCCAAUGUCAAAAAUAUCUGACAUUCUUUACCAAAUGGGGAUGACUACUUCCUAAGGUGUUGAGUGGUUGGAGAAGCGGUAGGAUAAAAAUAGCUCAUCUUACUAGAAAUCAACUUUCUGCAGCAUUAUUUAUAAUGGCUUAUUUAUGAAAACAACCCAGCUGUCCAUCAGCAGAUGAAUGGAUUUAAAAAAAUGUGAUAUAUGUAUAUGCUGGAAUUGGACUCUAUCUAACUGUAUCUAUUUAUCAAGAGAAAAUGGAAUAUUAUUCAGCCAUAAAAAGAAGGAAAUUCUGCCAUUUGUGGCAAUAUGAAUCAAUCUUAAAGAUACUAUGCUAAGUGCAAGAAGCCAGACAGAGAAAGGUGAAUACCAUAAGAUCUCACAUGUGGAAUCUAAAAUAAUAGAACUCAUAUUCCCACAGAGAACAAAUUGGUGGUUGCCAGAGGUGGAGUGGGAUGAAGGGUGGGUGAAAUGAGUGAAGAUAGCCUAACGGUACAAACUUCCAAUUAACUAUAAGAUAAAUAAAUCCUGGGGCUAUAAUGUACAGCAUGGUGACUAUAGUAUUGUUUAUAAAUUGAUGAGAGAUGAGAUAUUAAAUGUUUUCAUCAUUAAAAUUAUAACUAUGUGCAUUAUAAAAAUUAUAACUUAUGGUGACCAUUUCACAAUAUACACACAUAGAAAAUCAUCAUGUUGUACACCUAAAACUAAUAUAAUAUUGUGUCAAUUAUCUCAAUAAAACUGAAAAAAAAUAAAGAGAUCUAACUUUAGUCAAUUUAUAAAAAGAAAUCAACUUUUUCUGCAUGGCAAAUAUUUAAAAUAUUAUACUUAUUUGUAAAUUUUAAACACAUAAUUGAGUAGAAUUAAAAAUGCAUAGUUUUGGGGGUACCUAGGUGGCUCAGUCAGUUAAGCAUCUGAGUCUUGAUAUUGCUUAGGUCAUGAUCUCAGGGUCCUGAGAUCAAAUCCUGUAUUGGACUCCAUUCUGGGCCAUGGAGCCUGCUUGUGAUUCUCUCUGUCUCUCCCUCUUUUCCCCCUACCCCUCCUCUUUCUCUCUCUCUUUCUAUCUCAAAAAAAAGAAAAACAAACAAAAAAAAACAAAUAAAAUAAAAAUAAAUGUAUAGUUUUUGAGGAAAAUCACUAAACCUCAAUAAAAUUUUGAGUUAAAAUCUCAGGUUUCUUUUAUAUCCCUAGGCAAGCCCUUCCUCCCUCACACAUUAACAUACUGACUAAUAAUAGUCUAUAAUUCACUUCAUUUAAUUGAUCAUUGCUGUUAAUACAAAAGAACCAGUCCUGAUAAGGUUGUUGUUUAUCAACCAGGUAAUUAUAACAUGGCAUACACCUAAAUAUGAGUACAUUUAAUGUGUCAUAACUCUCAAGUCAAAAUGUAAUAGUUCAGGCUUUAUAUUCAGUAUUACUUUUCAGAGACACUUUAAAGACUUCCUCAAAGAUGGAAAAUCAAGUCACACCAAAUUGUUGAUCAUUGGGAAAGUAUGUAAUCAGAAAGAUGAGGAAAUAAGAGAAAAUAUGGCCCCCAAGACAAAAUCAUUACAUUUACAGAACAUAUUAAAAAAACUUACAAGUAGCAUAACAAAUUCACUUCUCAAGAGCUAGGAAGCUUGACAUUUUUGUAAACUAUCUAAACAUGACGAAUAAAUAAUGUCUCCUUCUGUCUCAUGUCUCUUCUAGCUGUUUGACUUUAGGAUUCUACCAAAGAGGUUAUUGACAGAGAGCAGCUGGCAGAGUUGAUUGCUAAAUCAAUUCCUAAACUGCUAGAAUCUGUUGUUUUCAUUCUCAGUAACUUCAGGACCCACCAACAACCUUCGAGAUAAAUUUACCCUAGGUUCUCUUCUAUCUCAAUUUGCUGUCACUUUAACCAUUAAAAAUAAAAUACACUUAAAAAUCUAAUCAUGGAACUGUGUGAUAUUUUAUCAGGCUUUUGGCCAACUUAAUAGAAUCCCAGGAAAUUCAAAAGCAAACCAUAUCCAAGACUCCUUCAGUAAUUUCAGUGAAAAACAUUUGUGCUCUUGAGUAUGAAGUCACAGUCCCCUUUGCCUGGGGUUUCUAUACCAUAUUACUUUCACUGACCAACCAACAAACAAACUGAAAGUUACCAACAGACUGCCUUCUUUCUUUGGCAGUUGUAAUGACAAGAUUUAGGAGUGCAUGUCAAAUUUGCAUUAUAUACAGGGAUGGUGAGUUUUUCUUAAAUUAUACCACUUAGAAAAUAAAGUGAAGGAAAAAAGAAAAGAAAACCUAGGAGGCAGUGACCCCCUUUUUAAAAUAGAUUUAUAAUUCUCCCUACAAUGCUGGAGAUAAUAUCCAGCCAUCUGAGCAAAUUCCGAAACUUCCUCUUCGUUCAAUUCCCUAAUCUAUGAGGUGGGAAAAUUAUAACCCAGCUCCUAGGUUUUGGUAAGAACUCAGUGAGAUGAUCCACGUCCAGAGUUUAGCAUAGCACCUGGCCUGGCAUACCAUUAGGAUUUAGUAAUCCAAUUACUAAAAAUUGACUAAAAAUCCAAAAUUCCAAUGGAAUUUUUAGCAUUCCAUUGUCUUCAUCAAAGCCAUCAUGAUCAUCAUCUCUGAUCGCCCUCAAACAUCUUUAAAAGGGAGGUAGCUGCUGAAUAAUGUGUGUAUGACUGAGUUUUCCUUCACCCUAGGUAAGCCAUAUAAAUCAAGGUGCUUUGGGACUUUUUCUCCUUAUCCUCAAAAGCAGAGACAGACUUUUUUAAGCUAUUGCAUGGGAUUUGAAAAAACGGUGUUGCUUCUCUUUUAUACAGGGAUCUCAUUCAUAUAAAAUAAAAUCAAUUUGGCACUUUUCAACCACCCUGUUUAGCGAUUUCCAUACCACACAGUACUUGGCAAAGGGAUGUUGCAACUAUCCUAUCCUUUGUCUCCACCUGUGAGAAAAUUUCUUUCCUUUUUUUUUUUUUUUUUGGUUUGUUUGUUAAUUGUCUCUGACACAUGCAUAUAUCCCAUGUUCACAAGCAAUUCAAAGAGAUAUGGAAAGCUGAAGGAAGAAUCAUAGAGCCAAUGAAAAAGGGAACUUCAGGUUUUAGGAUUUAUCUCAGGAGGAGACAAAGGAUUUGAUGUUUUGUUUUAGCUGAGAAUUCUCUACUGGGUGCUUUAAUAAAGAUGAUAAAACUCUACACCUUUUCAACUACAGGCAUAUAACAUAAACUUAAAUAUUUUAAUACUUGCACUUGAUAGAUAAAGGAUAAAUGAUAACAUGUUAAUAAUUACUGUUUAAUAGGCUUACAAACACAAUUAAAUUCACAAAUACAUUCUCACUUGAAUGACACAUUUGGAAAUCAUCCAACUUCUCUUCCUGUUUUAAAUUGUGUAUAAUUGAUACCAUUUUGUCAUUUGAAACAAUACUCACUGCUUAUCCAGUGUCUGCCAGGAGGCUACUUAUAAUUAUACAAAAAAAAUAAUAUUCCUCUGGGAGAAAAAUCAUCAUUAAUAUAAUCCCAUCAUGAAUAAUAGAAAGUGGAAACGGUUUACAUCUUAUGCAACUAUUUUAUAAGAGAAUAUUAAUUCAUCAGGUUGUUUUUUACAGGAUGUUUCAAUACGACAGUACUGGUUCUUUCUCUAUAUCUAUUUGCCCUUUCUAUAAGAGAUUCUAAUUAUUACAAACAAGUCUCAUCCACUAAACACACGCUUAUUACCUAAACACUGUGGAUGGAUACAAUAGAAAGUAAUUUGUAGGUGGCAGUUUUUCUUUCAGGAAAGCUUCAUGUCAACCACGAAGCAGAAAUAUGGAAUAAAAUAGAAUAGUGGGGAUUUAAGAGAUGUAAUAUAAAUAAUUAAGUGUGAAUGACAAAGGAGAGACGCUAAAGUAUAAUGGGAUGCACAGUGAUGUAGAUGACAUCCAUAUGGUGAGAUAUUGCUUUGUUCAGUUUUUACCCUGUGUUGAUUUCUCACUUGGUGUUGUUAAUGAAAAGUACAUAUAAUUAUAUGACUAUUUUAUCCCCCUUCUAGUGAAAAACUUGACUACCUAAAAAAAAUAAGUAACAAGCUCAUUGUAAGCAAUUAAUAAGAACAAUCACAAUGAUGUUGAAAGUAAGCAUUGGAAACAUACUAUAGCUUUAUAAAGUCUAUCCUAACCUCUGUGGGCCUCUCCUCUUUAGACAUUAAUAGUGAGUAUAAUCUGCAAACAUGAUUUAGUACUUAAUUACUACCUUCUCCCAUUUUUCUUCCCCAGCUGCUUUAUACUGUUCAUUGUUCUACUUGUAAUAAUCUGACUAGAUUGUUUUCUCCUUCUGCUUUGAAACUCAUGUUAUGACCAUUAGUAUUCUUAACAGAGUAUUUUAGAAAAUAUUUUUAGAGAACCAAAAUAUAUACCGGAUCAAAAAAUGCUGAGCAACUAUUAGACAUCAAAAUGUUGAAUUUGGUAGCAGUAAUGUUAAUAUUGCAAAAUUCAUUAUUGUCUCCAUCUUGCACAAACAUCCUGUACAGGAAAAAAAGCUAGGGGUGAGGACUAUUUGUUCAUCAUCUAGGUCUCUCCGAAAGCAGUUAUAUCAAACUGCUUGGUUCACAAUUAGUUGUACCAAAAUAAGUAUGGGGCAUAUUUGUUAUUCUCAUAUUUAAAUUAAGGCCUGCUUUAGAAAAGUGAUAAGAACUAUAUAUAUAUUUAUUUGAAAGCCACAGAUUCUCCAUUCUUUAUCUACGGGGCCACCCAAAUGAACCUUAGAGCAGGACAAGGGGAAUAUAUUCACAUAAUUACUAGAAUGCUUUUUUAAUCUGCACUCUUUCAUAUGAAUUGACAGAUAAGAUUAUUAUAAGACAUGGCACAUUAAUAAAUAACACCUAAUUAGUUUGAUAAUUCUUUGAUUAAGCCUUAAUUUUCCUUGCUUUUCAUGCAGCAAUUCAAAUUACUCUGUAUUAUUUGUUCCUUUUUCAGACUAUUUUAGAACAUGCUUUGAAUAGUCUCAGUAGGUUACCUGAGGAGGAAUUUAUUUUUGUCUGACAGCAAGUCCAUGCCAUUAAGAGUGACAAGGCUAGACCAAAACGAUGCUUUAUUCAAAGUUCCCUCACAGCAAAGAUACUCCUCUAAAAUCCACCACUUCUUUCAAAAGGGUUAGGAGACAAAUGUGAAGAAUGAGAAUGUAAGGAAAAUAAAACAGGCCUUCAUUUUGUUUCCUUUAAUUGGACACAGAGAAGUGAAGUCAUACAACUUGGUAUUACAAGGACAGCGGUCUUUCUAUUUACUAGCCCUCUCCCAAAAUCUAUGGUCCCUUUACCUGCUAGAGAGAGUACAGCAGCCUUAGAGGAAUCACAGCCAGGCAAAGGUUCUCAGAUCUAUUUCUAUGUACAUACCAGCUAUUUAUAGUGACUAGAAUGUUCCGUGGAUUGAUUGUGACAAAUAUGGAAAUCUAAUACAUUUAUCUUGAACAGCUUCCACGGACUUCAGAUAAUCAGAGGCAACUCUCACAGGGUAUGCUAUGUCCAGGAACCAUGCAUGCCUGUAAUUAAGUGUAGGAUUUCUCCUCUUUCUUUCUACCACUUUUUUCUGAUUCUUUAUGCUGCCUGCAGUUUACAGAUGCAUGCAGCAAACCAGUCUUUGUUAAUUCUGAGCCUCUGUCUCUAGAGAUACUACCAAUAACUCCUUUAAGAAUCUUUACAUAGGGCCUAUUUGCAAUGCUUAGAAACCUGUCAUCUUUUUAAAUAACAAGAUUACUUCCAGGAAUGAAUAAAGAGGGCUGUCCUGGGAUGAUCAUCAAUAAUUUUUUUCGUUGAGAAAAAUAUUAUGCACCAUGAAUUCAAUUCAAUAAACAUAUCGUGGAUCUGGCAAAGUAUGAGACAGUAGGGAUUUAAAAGCAAAUGUUUCUUAAAGUUGUAUACAAGGCAGAAAAGAAAGACUUGUUAGGGAGAGAAUGCUAAUGAUAAACAAUAAUUAAAUCAGAAAGGAAUCAGGAGUGGUGGGUAGAAAAUCACAAUUUUGUUAUUGGGCACAAUCGUCACCCCCCCCACCACUAUAUGUGUAAAUAGUGCUUCUUAAAUGUUAAUGGGUGUUCUUGGAUUGGUCUAAAUGUUAACCCUAAAAAAUAAUGCCUAUUAUUCUCCUUAUAAAUAAGCACCAUGCCUAUUUAUUCAGUGCUGUAUCUGUAGAAUCUAGCAUAGUUCCGAAAACUCAUCUAAGAUAUGCUUAAACCAAACUCAUUAUAAGCAUAUAAUGUAAGAUUUUUCCUACAAUCCCCAAUAUAAUACUGUCAAUUAUGUAUUAUUGGCCACAUUACAUAGGUAGUAGAUCCAAGGCUAAAAGACAUCAGAUGGCUACGAUGGAUAAAAUUGGUGUUGUGUAUUUGUUGAUGUGGUUCUGCUUGUAACAACUCAUAGAUAUGUGCCCAGUUACUAAAGAAACGCUGACACUCAGAGAGCAAUGGACCCUUAAAUGUGCUUUGACCAUCUGCUAAUGUAUUCUGUGACAGUCUUAUCAGCCUCAUUUGACAGAGGAGGAAAUGAAGGCCUAAAGAGAUUGAUUAAUGUGACUAAGUCAUAUUUCAAGCAUGUGGCAGGGCCUAGAAUUAAAGCCAUGCAGUCCGGCUCUAGAGUCUACUUGCCUACCCACCUGCUUUCUCUGCCUGAAAUGUCCAUGCAUUGGUGGCUACCUCCAAAGAAUCCAAAUAAAACCAUGGAAAACAACAGAAAGCAGCCAAAGAAGGAAAGCAAAUUAUUACUCCAUUUUAGGUUAUGAACAUGUCAGUUCUAGCACUUUUCUCACUGCACUAUGUUUUUAGUAAAUAAUCACAUAUACUCACUCUUUUCAUUUACAUCUAAACCUCAUUUAAGUUUCUACCUCAUGUGUGAACUUAAAUCGUCGAAAUAGUUUAUAACAUUUUGAGUUACAACAUUAAUUUCUUAAGUCACUUGUACACAGUUCCCAUCACCACCUAUAUGAACGAUGACUUAGUAAAUUUGUCCUUUCUUCCUUCAAAACCAUGUUUUAGAUUCAUCAGUGUUAGCAAUAUUUCAUAAACUUUACCCUAUUUCUAAUCCCUUUAGCAGAUGCUGCUUGAUCACACUCUCUGUAAUGCUGAUUUCAUGUCAUUGUUGUACUUCAAAUUUUUCAGACUCUCUUCCAUGCCAAGUUACAUACAGCUUUGCUGAUUGACCGAGUAUAAUGUCACCACAAACUUAUCACUCCUUAUUUCCCGAUGUUUUCUAAUCUUAAUUUAUCUUUUUGUCAGUCCAAUAUCCUCAUUGUCAUACAAACACAUCAAUUUCACAUGCUCUGCCAUGUCACGUCCAUGUUCAUUUUCUCUUUCAUUCAUACACGAACCAAGGCCUGUGUAUUCCUUAGCACUUAGUCAAAUACUCCCCAUCUUUCAAAUUCUAGGUGUCCUUUGUCUUCCCUGACAUCAAGAAUCACAGAUGUCUCUCUGAAACAUGUAACAUGUGGUGUCAGUAUUAUGCAAUCUCACUCCCAAUUUUAACCUUUUACCAUUUUCUGUUUCAAAUAAUUCUACUUGUUAAAGUUAGGGAUCAUCUUUUAGUAUUCUUAUAUCCCCUACUGUGUUCAUUCUGAGACCACAGUGCAUGCAGUAUUCAUGUAUUCAAUAUUUGUAUGCUCACUUAUUUCACUCACUCUCUUGGUAACCUCAUUUCCACCAUUGACCUCUCACCAAAACUCCACACUUGAUUAUCUAACUGCUUACUUCAGAGUAUGCUGUGAAAAUUAAAUGAGUAAAGUGUGUGACAAUAGUUGGUAUGAACCUUGGUAUUUAGCAGGUGCUUAAAUGAUGUUUCGAUUGGAAUCUUCAUAUAUUCCCCUUUUGUAACUGAACACCAUCAUCUGCGGCCUUAAGAAUAGGUAAUGGAUUUGAAAUCUCCUACAUCACUAGCUCUUCUCACUCUCAUGAGUUUUGACCAGUCUUUUCCUUUACUCCCUAUUUAGAGCACUAUUAUUAUUGUUUUUUCAAGUCAACAACCUCUGAAUAAUCUUUUAUUUUCCUCUCUUUUGGUAUUUGUGAUGAUAAAACCCAUGGUUCUACCUCUGUGAACCUCCUUGGACAUAUCCUAACUGUGCAAGAAGGCCAUCCCCUCAAAACCUUCUUACACAAAUGUUUCCAAUUUUGUUUUUCUUUCUAGGCUUCCUGAAUGUCAACCACUGUGAACCACUUGCAUUUCCCCACCUAUGCCUAAACAAGCAGGGAGCUUUGGGCUUUAGAAUUAGUCAGGCUUGUGUUUGAAUCCCCUGUCUGCACUGUGUUUGACCCGGACAAAACAUUUAAAUUCUCUACCUCCAUUCUCUGUUCUAUAAAACAAGGAUGAUAAUACAUUCCUCCCAAGGUUUUAUAUGGAUUAAAUAAGAUUAUUUUAAGAAUCUAGCAGAGAAUACUCAACAGCAGGUAGUUAUAAAAGAACACUUCAAAUUAGUGUGACUAUGUGACUUAAAUGUUAGCUAUUCAGUCUUAUGUCUUUAUCCUUAAACUUAUAUAGACACAGUCCACCAAUGUCUCAAGACCCCUUUCAACUUUUACUUCUUCCAUAAGAUCUUCUCUGAUCUUCACACUAGAAGCAUUAUCAUUUUUGCAGUAAAUUUACAUGGUAAAAGAGAAAGUGAAAAAGUGUGGGGAGAGGAUAUGUGCAUACACUAUUUUAUUUCACCAUCUAACAACCUUAAGAAAUAUAUUUGAUUUAAAAACUGAGACUCAGAAAAAGUUAUUAAGCAAAGUAUUUAAAUCCUGGCUUGUGUGACCUUCAAUUUAUGUUCUGUCCAUUGAUUCUCAGUGUGCUAGCAGAGUCUAUUGAAGUCAAUCUGAGUUUUUGAGAUUUUAUUUUGUUUUGUUUUGCUUUGUUUUGUUUUGAGCAAUUGUAACUACUUGUAGAGACUGAUUUAUCUUGUCUUACUUUUCCUUACAGGUUGUCCAAGGAACAAAGGAAAAAAAAUACUUAUUUUCUAAACAGAAUAAAACUCAUUAUAACUUGUAAUUUGCUACAUGGCACCGUUGGGCAAUUUAAAAAAAUCCAGGAUACAUGAUGGAAUCUCUAUGAUCUUAUUUUUCCUCUCUCUUGAACAUUUCUAUUUCAUGAAUUCAGGAAUUACUUCAUUAUGACUCAUCAAUUAUUCCCAUCAAUGCUAAAAAUGAGUAAAAUGAUAAGAAAAUAGAAUAAUGAUGGAGUUGCCUGGAAGGAUGAUGCAAUUGCAAAAUAAACCUCCAUUCUCAUCAUCAUUCAGUUUUCUUAUUUUUUGACUAAAAUGUUGCAUCGUCAUUCAAGAACGCAUAAAAGAAGUCUGGAAACAUUCUUAUGAUCUACUUCUAGUUUCAUUGAGCACAGUUUAGAAUUUAGAAGUUCUAUGUUUCGUCCAUAACUGCAAAAAGAAGAAAAUGGACAAAGGAAGAUGUUUAGGUUAUUAGAUGAAUCAGAAGACAAAUGUAAAAAAGAGAGCUAAGUAUGCUAAACUUAAAUGAUUAGGGUGAAAUUGAAAUUAAUUGUUCAAAUGAAAUCUCAGACCAUGGAUUUUCAGAUGACAAUGAAUUUUCUCAAACUCAAGAAUCCACGAGGGAACAAUUCAUUUCCAAGGACAAAAAUGAAAUAGGAUAUUCUCAUGCAGUUAGUCCUUCAACCAGAAGGACUUCACCAUGCAAUAUUUUGUGGCAAGAACUUAUCUCAUUUUGUUUUAAGGGUAUAUUAUAAUACUUUUUCAUUUUUUAUAAAGUCUGUGUGCCAAAAUUUAUAGUUUUUAAGUACACAAAUGUUAAAGAAAGGUUAAGGCCAGUAUCAGAAUGAAAUCAAUUAUGUAUAAAUAAAAAAAAAACUCAUUGGAUUCAUCAUUCUAAAUAAUGUUUAAGAAUCUAAAAAUAAAAAUGUCUUGUAGUUAUGGAAUGGAGAUGACAUUGUUUUUUAACGAAAUUACGUGCCUCAAAGAUUUGAAAAAGUUGACUGUUGCAUUUUGAUAACGCAAAUUCUAAAUGAACCAGAAGUGAUACUAUGCUAGAACCUAUUAAAGAUGUGUUUGAAAUCUAGAAUUAGUAUCAAUUAGAUGUAUAUAUUGCAGGUUUAUUCAUGAUAUUGAUGGGCAGUUAGUUCCUUUCUGAAGAUGUUUCCAAUCUGGAGUAUAUACAUCUUCAAAAUCAGAAAAUUGAUGAAAUAAACUUUUGGUUUUGCUAUGUUUAAGUUCUUAUCACAAUUUUCACCUCUUUACUCUUACUUCUGUAAACCAUUUUUUAAAUGAUUUAAAAUAUUAAAAAACACUAAGAGGUCCAAAUGGUAAGUAAAGAUAACUAUUGUUCCUAGUAUACUGAGAUUAGCAUUUACAUUUUCUAAACCUCUAUUGCAUACUUAUCAAUUUAUCCUUAGUUAUAAAGUUAUAUAUGCCAUGUCUUAUCUCUUUUCUGGACCAGCAGCUUGCAGAGGGGAUUCAACAGAUGUUUAUUGCGUUAACAUCAAAACUCCCAGAACUUUUAUUUUGUGAAAAUAAUGAGAUGUUUGGAAUUAAAGUGAGUAUGUUUUCAUGGAGCAGUAUUUUUUGGAGGAAAGUAAAGUAAGGCUGAAUCUUACCUAGUCUUCUACAUUAUAGCCAAUUGAGCUCUGAAAUACAUUAGAUUAAACCAUUAAAUAACAGUGACUAUAAUGCAAUUACAUUUGACCUCUUCUCAGCAGGAUCAAACCAAAAAUGCAGUUAGGCACAACUGAAGUUCAAGAAAAGGAUCUUAAUAAAAUGAGAGUACUCUUAUUCCUUGAGGCUCUAUUUCUAGCUGUGGACCUAAAAACCCAUAGAAUUGGAAUACAGACUGCCAAAGAAUACCUUAUUAUACUCAGAGAAGAUUUUGAUAGGUGACUACCUUCAAUUUUAAGAGAGUAAAUUACACAGAAAGGGGAAUAAAUUACCUUAACAUAAAUUCUUGGUUCAAGUAAGUCAGGUAGUAGUUGGAUUUUAAUGGUGGGAUAACUUCUAAGGGAUAAACAUUAACUUGUAUUGAACUUUAAUCAUAAUGGCUUUUUGAUUAUGAUUUUUUUCAUACAGAGAUGAAAAGCUGAAAAAAAAGUGUUAAAAUGAUGAAGCAAAAGCAUACAAGGCCUAGUUCUUGUACUGGACAUUUAAAUUGAUUUCCUUAUCUACAAUAAAUAUAAAGAGAUGAACACCUUCUAAGAAUCACACAUGCUGGCCAUUUCUCCCCUCAAGGAGCAGUGAUGGAUGUUAUUCAGCUGCUACCUUGUCAUGUUGCCUGUGGAGUGGCAGCAGAGAGAAAAUGCAUUCUGGGUGCAGAAUGUCAAC